GGAUUAGAUACCCGGGUAGUCCACGCCCUAAACGAUGAUUACUCGACAUACGCGAUACACAGUGUGUGUCUGAGCGAAAGCAUUAAGUAAUCCACCUGGGAAGUACGUCCGCAAGGAUGAAACUCAAAGGAAUUGACGGGGGUCCGCACAAGCGGUGGAGUAUGUGGUUUAAUUCGAUGAUACGCGAGGAACCUUACCUGGGCUAGAAUGCUAUUUGACCGUCAGUGAAAGCUGAUUUUGUAGCAAUACACAGAUAGUAAGGUGCUGCAUGGCUGUCGUCAGCUCGUGCCGUGAGGUGUUGGGUUAAGUCCCGCAACGAGCGCAACCCCCAUCUUCAGUUGCCAGCACGUAAUGGUGGGAACUCUGAAGAAACUGCCGUCGC
rnacentral:rRNA from 1 species